rnacentral:rRNA from 1 species
UACGUAGGGUGCGAGCGUUAUUCGGAAUUACUGGGCGUAAAGCGUGCGUAGGCGGUUCUCCAAGUCCGUUGUGAAAGCCCCGGGCUCAACCUGGGAAUGGCAGUGGAAACUAGGGGACUGGAAUCUGGCAGAGGGGGGUGGAAUGCCGCGUGUAGCAGUGAAAUGCGUAGAUAUCAGGAGGAACACCGGUGGCGAAGGCGGCUCUCUGGACCACAACUGACGCUGAGGCGCGAAAGCUAGGGGAGCAAACAGG